GACGAACGCUGGCGGCGUGCUUAACACAUGCAAGUCGAACGGAAAGGCCCUGCUUUUGUGGGGUGCUCGAGUGGCGAACGGGUGAGUAACACGUGAGUAACCUGCCCUUGACUUUGGGAUAACUUCAGGAAACUGGGGCUAAUACCGGAUAGGAGCUCCUGCUGCAUGGUGGGGGUUGGAAAGUUUCGGCGGUUGGGGAUGGACUCGCGGCUUAUCAGCUUGUUGGUGGGGUAGUGGCUUACCAAGGCUUUGACGGGUAGCCGGCCUGAGAGGGUGACCGGCCACAUUGGGACUGAGAUACGGACCAGAAUCCUACGGGAGGCAGCAGUGGGGAAUAUUGCACAAUGGGCGGAAGCCUGAUGCAGCAACGCCGCGUGCGGGGAGAAGGCCUUCGGGUUGUAAACCGCUUUCGCCUGUGACGAAGCGUGAGUGACGGUAAUGGGUAAAGAAGCACCGGCUAACUACGUG
rnacentral:rRNA from 1 species